rnacentral:rRNA from 1 species
UACGUAGGUGGCAAGCGUUGUCCGGAAUUAUCGGGCGUAAAGCGCGCGCAGGCGGCCUCUUAAGUCUGAUGUGAAAGCCCCCGGCUCAACCGGGGGAGGGCCAUUGGAAACUGGGAGGCUUGAGUAUAGGAGAGAAGAGUGGAAUUCCACGUGUAGCGGUGAAAUGCGUAGAGAUGUGGAGGAACACCAGUGGCGAAGGCGACUCUUUGGCCUAUAACUGACGCUGAGGCG